rnacentral:lncRNA from 1 species
UAUAGGUUGAUUAUAUGGUGUUAGUGAGUCAACAAUGGAUAUUAUAAGGACAAUUGAAACUCUUAUCAUAUGCCUACAAGGUACUUUAUAUCUUAUGCCUGAAAGAUGGAAAAGAGGCAAAUUAAAUCUCUGAAUUGAAGAUAAGCAAAUGAAUAACAGAAUACUUUUCAUGCAAGGGAUCUGUGACCAUACAAGAGGAGUUUUAAAAAAAAUAUAUUUACAGACACCGAAGUGGAUCUGGGAAAAAAUUGCUUGCAACAAGGGAUGGUAUGAGGAUUAAAGGUGUGCCAUGACCUAGAGACCAAGUCUUGUGUGACAGUGGUGCCAAAGAAAGGAUGUUCUAUGUUGUAUCUGCUGCAACUGUAGAAAGCGAUUGAGGGAAGGGAAUUACAUGCCUGCAAAAAUCCUUUGGUGCUAUUAAAAUUGGCAUGCUUUGGGAGCCCUUGAAUAGUCCUGCUUGCCAUUUUGAAGAGCAAGAGCCAACUGAGACUGAUAUGAGGUUAGCAAAAACAGAGGCUGACAUUUUGGUUUUGGGGCAGUACUUCAGGUGAUAUCACGGUGAAACCAUUGCUGCUGUACAGAUUUCAGGGGGAACAAUUGAGCUAAGUUUCCAGUGUGCUGGCAUGCAAACAGAAGAGUUUGGAUGACUCUUACUCCCCUCAAGGAAUAGUUUGAACAGUGAUUUUUUUUAGAUAUUCAAGACUACUUCAAAGAAAAAAAAUUAUAAAUUAAAUUCCUGUUCAUUCUUCAUACUCCAUGUGCCCCACUUGCAUUUGCCAAUGCUAAUCUUAAUGUACACCUUGUCUUUGUAUGUAGCCAUAUCUCAUAUCCUCAAGCCAUUAGAUCAAUGUUUGAUACAGCUUUCAAGUAAUCAUGUUAAAGUAAUAUAUAACUUUAUUGUUCAGAAAAUAUCAUUUUUAAAAGAAUAUUCUAUUUUUUUAAAAAAGCAUUAAAUAGUUCAAAAGAGCCUGCCUUUAACAGAAAAUGGGAGAAGAUAUGGCCAAAGGCAGUGAAUUAUUUUCAAUGAUCCACUCAAAGACAGAAUCAAGGGAUCAAGAAGAAUCUAUGGACAAGGAUACACAUGUGGCACAGGAUAUAUCACCAAAUAAGUUGAAUUUAACCUGUUCAUACUAAUUUAAAUGAUGUGGUACUCCUAUAGUAUGAUCCUCAGGAAGUCAACAGUACCCUAGAGGUGAUUAUUAUAAAUGACAGUGAAGACAAUUAGGUGGUUUUCAGAUUAGAAACAGAGGCAGUUAUAAACAACAGAUGCAAUUUCUUUAGAACCAUAUUAAAUACUCUUAUGGAAAGAACUGAAAAUUGGUACCUUUACAUGUCAUAGCUUACCAGUCUAAAGCUUGAGUGAUUUAGCAGAAUUCUAAAAAUAGGUGCUAUGAUGCCUUCAAAAACAAUCACAUUAGACAGGAUCCACCUUCAACAGUACUUAAAUAAUCAAGUGCCAUUUAAUACCAUUGCUGAACAGCUGAUAAGCUACCUCAGACAAAGAUGAAUGAUUUAAGUGAACAUUUAAAAAAGGUUCUAAGUGUGUUUAUAUUAUAAAGACCAUACUGGGAAGAAAGCAAUGCCAGAAAAGCCUAAGUCAUCAGGUUAUUGCCAUUUAAAUACCUUUAAUGGAGGGCUGAUAAGUUGCCUUCAGACAAGGCUUGAAUGAUUUAUAAUUGAACUCUGUUCAGAAGUGCUAAGGUGUCUUCAAAAAAGUCUUAAGAAGACAGACAUCUUCAGAAGGGCCAAAGUCAUUAAGUAGUGCCACUUAAAUUCACCUGAUGAAUAGAGUUAAAGCUGAAAGCAAUAUAUGUUACAACUUCAGGAUUAGAUUUUAGUGACUCUUGAGAACACAGAUAUCCAUGAUUUGAACUAACAGUUCAAAUGUUCACUGUUCAUUGCCUCUUUGUCACCCUCAUUUUCCACCACCAUAAUAAAUGAUAGAUACAUCCUCAUCACCUCUGGGAAUCAUAUCAGGAUCUAAAUGGAAACUGAAGAACCUAUCAUUUUUACUAAUUGAAACUAUGUAAACUCUCAAUUUUAUGUAAUAAAUUGUUAUUGUUUUAUUUUAUUGCACAUAGAACAUUUUUAAGGGCUUUCAAAAGUUCAUUUGUGACUUCGUUCCUUCUAAUUUUUUUUCCUCCUAAAACUAUGAUUCUCCCAGCUCAACUCUGCUAUCUUGGGUUUGUCUACAUACCUGACUCUCAUGGGUGGGGAAGAAUUACAAUUUUUGUUCAGUCUUAAGCUCACAGAAAGAGCAUUGGAACUGGGUUCUGGAGAGCCAGGUUUGCAUCCAGCUCUGCCUGAAAUGAUUGCGUCUUUGAGCUAGUCAUUUAGCUUCUGUGAGCCUCAGUUUUAUCACCGAUGAAAUGAGGAUAAUACUACCUGGUCUAUUUCACAAGAUAUUUGUGAUAAUCAAAUGUAAUUGUGUAUACCAGAUGCUACUAAAAGUAAAAUUAAAAAGUGCUACAUAGCUGGGCAUGAUGAUGCAAACCUGUAAUCCAAGCUACUCAGGAAAU